rnacentral:rRNA from 1 species
ACAUGUCUGCUUGGAGCUAUAAGAAGUCUAGCCUGCUCUCUGAUAAUUUUAAGGGCCGCGGUAAUUUGACCGUGCAAAGGUAGCAUAAUAGUUAGUUUUUUAAUUGGAAUCUUGUAUGAAUGGUUGGACAAAAGAAAUACUGUCUCUAUAAUUAUUCUUGAAUUUAACUUUUAAGUGAAAAGGCUUAAAUAUUUUAAGAAGACGAUAAGACCCUAUAAAGCUUUAUAAGAAGUUUAUAUUUAGUUAAAAUAAAUAAUAAAAUCUUAAUAUUUACUCUUAUUUUAUUGGGGAGAUAAAAUUAUAAUUUAAUAUAACUGAGUUUUAUUAAUACAAAAAUAAAUGUUUAUUAGUAGAUAAAAGAUCCCUUCUAGGGAUUUUAAGUUUAAGUUACUUUAGGGAUAACAGCGUUAUUUCUUUUGAGAGUUCGUAUCGAAAAAGAAGAUUGCGAUCCUCGAUGUUGACAUUAAAANUUCUAGAUUAGUGCAGCAAGUCAUCUUAGAA